CAAAUUUUUGGUUGAAAUUAAAAUUUAUUUAAAAAAUAUUUUAUGAAUUUAUUCGCAGUAAGUAAAAUUAAAUUUUAAAGAAAUUUAGAUUUAGGAAUAGAGUUUAAUAUUAACAAAAUUUGUGCCAGCAGUUGCGGUUAUACAAAUAAUAUAAAUUAAUUUUUUUAGUAAAAGUUAGUUUUUAAAAAUAAUUUUGUAAUAAAAUUUAUUAGGUGAAAUUUUAAAUUUUAGAUAAAAUUUGAAUAGUAAAACGAAGCUUAAAAAUUUUAGUUUAAACUAGGAUUAGAUACCCUAUUAUUAAAAAUGUAAAUUUUUUUACUUAAUUAGUAUUAGUUAUGUUCUUGAAAAUUAAAAAAUUUGGCGGUAUUUUAGUCUUUUCAGAGGAACCUGUUCUAUAAUCGAUAGUCCACGAUUAGAUGCACUUUAUUUAUUAGUUUAUAUAUCGUCGUAGUUUAAAUAUUUUAAUAGAAUUAUAAAUAUUUAAAAUUUUUUAUUAAAAAAUAAAUCAGAUCAAGGUGUAGUUUAUAAUAAAGAAGAAAUGGGUUACAAUAAAUUUAUUUGAAAAUAAUUUUUGUUAAAAAAAUUUGAAUUUGGAUUUGAGAGUAAUUUUUUAGAUUUUUUUAAGAUGAUUAAAGCUCUAAAAUAUGUACAUAUCGCCCGUCGCUUUCAUUUUAAAAUGAAAUAAGUCGUAACAAAGUAGAUGUACUGGAAAGUGUCUCUAGAAAGA
rnacentral:ncRNA from 1 species